rfam:Firmicutes bacterium CAG:791 genomic scaffold, scf145
GAAGGAUAAGUGCGGUAUAACCUGCCGGGAAAGCUCUUGCCCGCAAUCGGCUUAUUUGCUAUACUAAUGAAAUCCUGCCGCUGGCAGGGCUCGGGCAGCCGCCCGGGUGCAUCGUAUUGAAGUUUGGGUCUCACGCAAUGAAUCCUGCGAACCGUGUCAGAUCGGGAACGAAGCAGCACUAAGCAGAUCCUUUCAUGUGCCGUGAGGAAGCCUGGCGGAGCGAUGUAUCCGGUACCGUGCCCGGGUCCUGUCGGCGGCAGGAUUUUUU